UACGUAGGGGCCUAGCGUUGUCCGGAUUUAUUGGGCGUAAAGAGCUCGUAGGCGGUUCGGUAAGUCAGGUGUGAAAUCUCCACGCUCAACGUGGAGGCGCCACCUGAAACUGCUGUGACUCGAGUCCGGUAGGGGAGUGUGGAAUUCCUGGUGUAGCGGUGAAAUGCGUAGAGAUGUGGAGGAACACCGAUGGCGAAGGCAGCCUCCUGGGCCAGCACUGACGCUCAUGCACGAAAGCGUGGGGAGCGAUCCGG
rnacentral:rRNA from 1 species